CACGUAGGGGGCGAGCGUUGUCCGGAUUUAUUGGGCGUAAAGAGCUCGUAGGCGGCUCGGUAAGUCAGGUGUGAAAACUCUAGGCUCAACCUAGAGACGCCACCUGAUACUGCCGUGGCUAGAGUCCGGUAGGGGAGCAUGGAAUUCCUGGUGUAGCGGUGAAAUGCGCAGAUAUCAGGAAGAACACCCGUGGCGAAGGCGGCUCUCUGGUACGUGACUGACGCUGAGACGCGAAAGCGUGGGGAGCGAACAGG
rnacentral:rRNA from 1 species